rnacentral:misc_RNA from 1 species
GAUGAAGAACGUAGCGAAAUGCGAUAAGUAAUGUGAAUUGCAGAAUUCAGUGAAUCAUCGAAUCUUUGAACGCACAUUGCGCCCUCUGGUAUUCCGGGGGGCAUGCCUGUUCGAGCGUCAUUAUAACCACUCAAGCUCUCGCUUGGUAUUGGGGUUCGCGGUUCCGCGGCCCCUAAAAUCAGUGGCGGUGCCUGUCGGCUCUACGCGUAGUAAUACUCCUUGCGAUUGAGUCCGGUAGGUCUACUUGCCAGCAACCCCCAAUUUUUACAGGUUGACCUCGGAUCAGGUAGGGAUACCCGCUGAACUUAAGCAUAUCAAUAAGCGGAGGA